GGAAAAAACUGGUGUUAAUAAUUUACAAAGAAUUUAAUAAAAAUAAAAACAACAUCAAAUUUAAUUAGAACUUGUAUCAACUAUUUACAAAAGAAUAUAAGAGCACAAAGUUAAAGGGGUUACCUGAACCACUGCAUGUGGAACCAGCUCAAAGCGAGUAAACAAACCUGUUAUUCUUUCCAUAUCCUGCAAAUAUGAUUAUGAGCUUUUUAUUUAAGUAAAAAGUAGAUUAAGGUUAGCAAAAAAGAAUAUUUUUUUUUAAAAAAAAAUAAUAAAAAACUCUUGAAAGAACUUAUACUUAAAAAUAUCAUCAAUGAAAUAUCUUCUCAAUCUGUCUAUAGCAUCCGCCAGAGCUUAGCGUAUUUUUUCACUUUCUUUAAAAUCUCAAAUCUAUCCAUCGAAGCUCCAUCGCUGAAUCUGUGAUAUCCGACGCAGCUCCGCUGCAGUUAGGCGACCGUACAGCCGCCACCUUACUUUCACCACCGCAGCAACCGUACCGCCAGACUGUAAAGCCAUCGCCGAAAGGAUUAUACCGCAACGACGAUCUCCCCUGUGAUUUUAGACCGAUCAUCCGUCAUGUUUCUGCGUAGCAUUGGUUUCCACUCCAGGCCUUGACUUUGUUCCGGUUUUAUGAGGCAUGUAAAGCUCUCAACAUUCGUUGUAAUGAUGGGCUCACUGAGAUUACUUGCUGGUAAAUAUAUUCGGACAAUGAAGUCACUUCUGUUUUCUUCUUAUUAGUGCCUGGAUGGACCAGUUAUCGCCCGGGGCGUUAAUACCUGGCAGUACGUAGGUGUAUUAAUUGGUGCAAAAACGACUCAUUGGACCGGAGUUUCGUGUUCCGACACUUCAGUUAUCCAAAUUAAACUUGACAUUCUAAACAUCGCUGGAAACCUCGGCUACCAGCUUGAUAAUCAAGUCACUCAAGGCGGCUGGCUGCUUUCCCGUGUGCAGAAUGACGUAGUUCAUGGAUGGGCUCUCGAUUUUGCUCUUAGGAGAUGUGUACAGCCUGCUCAUGAGAAGAUAGGUGUUAUAGAUGGUCAGCCGACUAGUUGAUUGGCUACCAUCAGAGCUCUUCUUUCUUAAAUAAUCUGCUAUAACAUGAGGCUCGUUAAAACAUGUAGCACUUCCUAAUGGAAGCCGAAAAGUUCAUGCUCAAGAAGCAGAUAUGCCAUCACUCCAGUAAUAUAAAAUGCUAUAAUCUUUUGUGAUGAGAUGCACUUCAACCAAAGAAAUAGAUCUUUGGUUUAAAUUUAGAAACUUUUUAAUGUUUAGUUUAUUUAGAAGUUCCUUUGGAUGUUAAAUCGAAGAAUUAGAUUAUGUAAUGUAUAAUAGUUUGUAUUUGAAUAUCAAGUUCUUCAUUUGUAUAA